CGCCUUCAGACAACCUCACAUUGAAGGUCCGACCUGCCCAGUGAUUCUUUAACGGCCGCGGUAGCCUGACCGUGCUAAGGUAGCAUAAUCCUUCGCCUUUUAAUUGAUGGCUAGCAUGAAUGGUCAGACGAGCAUAAUAUUGUCUCUAGUAAACUCACUAUAACUUAAUCUUAAGGUGAAGAAGCCUUAUCUUUCAAGUAGGACAAAAAGACCCUAUCGCGCUUUAUAAACUUAUAAUCCUAUGCAAUAUAAUUCUAUUUUGUUGGGGCAACACAGGACAAAUAAAAUCAUCCUGCUUAAUACCUGGCACUAUAUGCCGCACUAUCAAAAUCUCUUCCUUUAUCACCAGCCACCGUAGGGAUAACAGACUACACUUCUCCGAGAGCCCAUAUUGACGAGAAGGCCUAGCACCUCGAUGUUGGCUUAGGGUAACUAUAAGAAGCAGCCCUCUUAUCAGUAGGUUUGUUCAACCUUUAAACCCCUA
rnacentral:rRNA from 1 species